UGAACCUUUUUGACAGUUCAGUGGUACUGUUUACAAGCACUUAGUCGUUUUUUCGAAAAAACAAAUUCUAAAAUUUCCGAAUUUUAACUUGAAAAUUGUCGAGGAACAGCGCGGUGAAAGGAUGGUACUCGUGGACAAUGCAUAAGUGUGGUUUACAUCUCACUGCAGUCUGAAAAAUUAUCGAGAAAAUCUACCCAAGAAAAAAACGACUAAGUCCACGUAAACAGUACCACUAAACUGUCAUCAGAUUGAGGUUAACCCCGACGGUGCAAAACCUAAUUGGUGGAGCACUGAAAAAGCCUAUAAUCACUAAUCAUCGAGUCUGAGCAUAAGCAAAAGCAUAUUCGACUACUUGUUGAUCAGUUUCUUACUUGAUAACCAUUUUAAAGCUUAUUCCGAACUUAACAAGAGAGAAGAAUGGUAUACCGGGUUGUCAAAAUCGUAUGGGGAAAACACGUUCGAAAUACAUGUUACAUCGAAAAAAGAUCAUAGCAUAAGGGUUAUAGUCUGAACGUAGUAUAAGGAUGGUCACCGAAUCUAGUUAAUAAGAACGUUUUUUUUUUCUCGCAACAUCCUUCGAAUAAGCUCUGUCAGAUGUGAGUGCUCCAGUCCCCCAUGUAAUGAAAUGCUUGCCAGGUUCACCCGUUCAGGGACCGAAAAAGUACAGGAUAAAAAGUCACGACCCUCUGCACAGCGUGCGAAACCCAAGAAAAGCGACGAAAGCGUAACAAAACUCAAAUCAACCACGUGCAAAUGAUAACAUCUGUGAUAAUGGAUAAAAACAAAUAAAAUUACCCAUACGAAAACGUAACGAUAAGAAGCAAACCACAAUUACACAUAACGAAGCAAAGCAAAACCGAGAAACUCAGCAACUCAAACAAAACAAACAUUUUUUUUUGUAAAAACAAACAAGUACAGAGAACAUAAUAACUAUAGAAGAAGCAACAACAAAAACACAACAAACGAAACACGUUGAUAGAAAGUGUGUAAACAUUGAAAGAGGGUAAAACGAAACUACAAAAUAUUCCAUCGUCAAAGACUAGUGAGAGUUAUAAGUAAACAAACAAACAAACAAAAAGCGCAUAAGUAUAUGAACAACCAAUUACCAAAAAGUGGACUGCUCUAGUGAUGUAAUGAUAAACAACAAACAAACAAACAAAAACGAAAACGUUCUAAAACAUCAACACAUAAGACAACACAACAUCUCAUUAUUCGAAACGGAAGGAAA